rnacentral:rRNA from 1 species
GUGCACCAGUCGCGAAUCUUUCGCAAUGCGCGCAAGCGUGACGGAGUGACGCCGCGUGGACGAUGAAGGCCCUUCGGGUUGUAAAGUCCAAUCGCGGGGGAAGAAACAGCGGAGGGAAACACUCUGCCGCUGUGACGUUACCCCGGUCGAAGCGCCGGCUAAACACGUGCCAGCAGCCGCGGUAAGACAUGUGGCGCAAGCGUUGUUCGGAAUCACUGGGCAUAAAGAGCGCGUAGGCGGUGUCGUAAGUCGGAUGUGAAAGCCCCCGGCUUAACCGAGGAAUUGCAUCCGAAACUGCGAUACUUGAGUGUGGGAGGGGGGAGUGGAAUUCCUGGUGGAGCGGUGAAAUGCGUAGAUAUCAGGAGGAACGCUGGUGGCGAAGGCGACUCCCUGGCCCACAACUGACGCUGAGGCGCGAAAGCUAGGGGAGCAAACAGGAUUAGAUACCCCUGUAGU